rnacentral:rRNA from 1 species
GCCUUUAGUUGCCAGCAGUUUGGCUGGGCACUCUAAAGGGAACGUGCCGGUGUUAAACCGGAGGAAGGUGGGGAUGACGUCAAGUCCUCAUGGCCUUUAUGACCAGGGCUACACACGUACUACAAUGGCCGAUACAAAGGGCAGCGACACUGCGAGGUGAAGCCAAUCCCGUAAAAUCGGUCUCAGUCCGGAUUGGAGUCUGCAACUCGACUCCAUGAAGUUGGAAUCGCUAGUAAUCGUGGAUCAGCAUGCCACGGUGAAUACGUUCCCGGGCCUU